AUUGAACGCUGGCGGCAGGCCUAACACAUGCAAGUCGAGCGGAUGAAGGGAGCUUGCUCCUGGAUUCAGCGGCGGACGGGUGAGUAAUGCCUAGGAAUCUGCCUGGUAGUGGGGGAUAACGUCCGGAAGCGGGCGCUAAUACCGCAUACGUCCUGAGGGAGAAAGUGGGGGAUCUUCGGACCUCACGCUAUCAGAUGAGCCUAGGUCGGAUUAGCUAGUUGGUGGGGUAAAGGCCUACCAAGGCGACGAUCCGUAACUGGUCUGAGAGGAUGAUCAGUCACACUGGAACUGAGACACGGUCCAGACUCCUACGGGAGGCAGCAGUGGGGAAUAUUGGACAAUGGGCGAAAGCCUGAUCCAGCCAUGCCGCGUGUGUGAAGAAGGUCUUCGGAUUGUAAAGCACUUUAAGUUGGGAGGAAGAGCAGUAAGUUAAUACCUUGCUGUUUUGACGUUACCAACAGAAUAAGCACCGGCUAACUUCGUG
rnacentral:rRNA from 1 species